GCAGUGACGCCAUCAGCCGUCGCCUGAGCCGUGGCGCGCGGGUGGCCGAAAGGCGAAAGUGAGAUUUCAAGGGCCGGGUCUGGGGCCCCGCGGGCGCGCAGUGCUGCGGCGUGUGGGGAGUACGGGGAGGCUGGAGAGGAGCCGGCCCCGGGCAGUGUGAGGUGCGGAAGCGCGGUCCAGACACUUUGCUGACGGGAGGCCGGUCCGCCAGAUCCGGGAGGUGGGGCCUCGUUCUGGACUGCUAUAAGAAACAGAGGCAAAUGCAGGUUAAGGAACCUCACAGUAAGGGAUAAAACUCAUAUUUUAACCUGAUCUGCCUGAUUCUGGAGCCUGCACCAUCAUUCCAUUGUCGUGCUUGCCACAUGUUUCAUCGUUUUUCAGUCUCUUUGAGGCUUGCUAAAAUUGAUAUCCAUGAGUUCUAUCAAUUCUGGGACAGAGAACAAAUUGUGUUCUGUAAGGAUGGAGGGACAGCGAGGAAUUUGCCAAGGAGAAUGAUAAGGGGAGAGAGUAAGAAAGCAAUGAGAUACACAUGUCUUGACUGCUUCUCUUCAUGCUGAAAUCCUGGGGGAAAGAAGUGCUAAAUCAGUUGAGGACAUGGGAACAUUUAUUCUGCGCUGCUGUGUUAGGGUCUCCACGACUGAGCUGGUCCCAGCAAGAGGUGCCCAACAUGGAGGCUCGAACCCAGGUCGAAGGGUCACCAGAGUGAUGGUUGGAGAAUGUGGAACUAAGCUGGAGUACACCCGAGUACUCUUAAGCAAUCCCUGUGGUGAGUAAGAGGGGAGCUCGGAAGCAUCAGGGUAACAAUGGGACUAGUGUGGGCUCUGGUUCGUUCCACCUUGGAACCUUUUCACACUGAUGAUGAAGAAGAAGGAAAGUAUAAGGAAGUAACAGAAGAAGUAACAGAGCAGGUUUGUUUGCCAACUAAAGCUAAAGUGGCAAAGGAGGAAGAGGUUCAUCCCUACUCUUCUGCACCCCCUCAUUAUUUUGAAGAAAAAGAGUGUCCUGACCCUCCAGAUCUUUCUUUUCCGGAGGACACUGGGUGAAAGUUGUUGCCCUAGUGACUGUUCGAGCAGCACCUCGAGCGACCACUCUCAGCUCUGUUCAGGCAGGAAUUCAGCAAGCUAGAAGAGAGGGUGAUUUAGAGGCUUGGCAGUUCCCUGCUAGAAUACACCCCACAGAUCAACAGGGAAAUGUUAUAGCUACAUUUGAGUCUUUUCCUUUUAAAUUACUCAAAGAAUUUAGACAAGCUAUUAGUCAAUAUGGACCAGGUUCUCCUUCUGUAAUGGGACUGUAAAGAAUGUUGCUCUUUCCAGUCGAUGAUUCCUACCAACUGGGAUGCUCUUACUUGAGCUUGUCUAAAUCCUGCUCACUUCUUACAAUUUAAAACUUGGUGGGCAGAUGAAGCUUCCAUUCAGGCUCCUCACAAUGCCCAGGCCCAACCUCAAAUUAAUAUGACUGCAGACCAACUUUUAGGGGUCGGCAGCUGGGCUGGUUUAGAUGCACAAGUGGUCAUGCAGGACUAUGCCAUAGAACAGCUUAGAGGAGUGUGCAUUAGAGCUUGGGAAAAAAGUCACUUCGGGUGAAGAACAAUACCCUUCCUUUAGCAUUGUAAAACAGGGACCAAGAGAACCAUACACGGAUUUUAUAGCUUGGUUACAGGAGUCUCUUAAAAAGGUGAUUGCAGAUUCAGCUGCUCAGGAUAUAGUGUUGUGGUUAUUAGCUUUCGACAAUGCUAAUCCCGAUUGCCAGGCUGCUCUGCGACCUAUCAGAGGGAAAGCACAUUUAGUUGAUUAUAUCAAGGCCUGUGAUGGUAUUGGAGAUAAUCUGCAUAAGGCUACUCUGCUAGCCCAGGUAAUGGCAGGAGUGAGAGUGGGUAAAGGAAUACUCCAUUUCCUGGAGCUUGUUUUAACUGUGGGAAGCAUGGUUAUACUAAAAAAGAAUGUAGAAACAAUCAGCGAGUCAGGCCACCAGAUAAGGGAAAAAAGAAAACUGCUGAGCCUGAAAUAUGUCCAAAAUGUAAAAAA
rnacentral:lncRNA from 1 species